rnacentral:rRNA from 1 species
UACGGGGGGGGCAAGCGUUGUUCGGAAUUACUGGGCGUAAAGGGCUCGUAGGCGGCCAACUAAGUCCGACGUGAAAUCCCCAGGCUCAACCUGGGAACUGCGUCGGAUACUGGAUGGCUUGAAUUCGGGAGAGGGAUGCAGAAUUCCAGGUGUAGCGGUGAAAUGCGUAGAUAUCUGGAGGAAUACCGGUGGCGAAGGCGGCAUCCUGGACCGACAUUGACGCUGAGGAGCGAAAACUAGGGGAGCAAACGGG